CCUACGGGAGGCAGCAGUGGGGAAUAUUGGACAAUGGGCGAAAGCCUGAUCCAGCAAUGCCGCGUGAGUGAUGAAGGCCUUAGGGUCGUAAAGCUCUUUUACCAGGGAUGAUAAUGACAGUACCUGGAGAAUAAGCUCCGGCUAACUCCGUGCCAGCAGCCGCGGUAAUACGGAGGGAGCUAGCGUUGUUCGGAAUUACUGGGCGUAAAGCGUGCGUAGGCGGUUAUUCAAGUCAGAGGUGAAAGCCCGGGGCUCAACCCCGGAACGGCCUUUGAAACUAGAUAACUAGAAUCUUGGAGAGGUCAGUGGAAUUCCGAGUGUAGAGGUGAAAUUCGUAGAUAUUCGGAAGAACACCAGUGGCGAAGGCGACUGACUGGACAAGUAUUGACGCUGAGGUACGAAAGCGUGGGGAGCAAACAGGAUUAGAUACCCUGGUAGUCCACGCCGUAAACGAUGAUAACUAGCUGUCCGGACACUUGGUGUUUGGGUGGCGCAGCUACGACAUUAAGUUAUCCGCCCGGGACGGUACGGUCGCAAGAAGUAAAACUAACAAAUAGAAGUUAGACGGACGUGUAGACGUUGACGAACGGACGACGAACGAGGGAGGUUAGG
rnacentral:rRNA from 1 species